UUUUAACAGGAGGUUACCAGAAGUCAUAUAACAAUGUAAUACAAGCAGCAUCCGUUGUUGCAGUGGAAGUGGAUGAGACCACUCAAACAAGGCUCAAAUAUCAGCGGCGUUCAGAUGUCAACAAGAGAGCUAAAUUGUGACGUGGUGAGUAAUGACAGAAGUGCACAGCCUGGGAACAUAUCAGAGUAUGUACUAUUUGUAUUACAAAAAUAAAUUGUUUGGAGAAGUUGACAGCACAAACACGUGAUGGAGCUGCAGUGAUGACCUCAGAGCUUAAAGGGGCUGCAGGCCAAAAUCAAAGAGGAAGUGCUUGAAGCCAUAUUAAGGCAUUGCUUUGCGCAUAAAUGGAAUUUGGUGCUUUCACAAUCAGCAAAAUGCAUUCCAGAAUGUACUACUGUUGAAGGGCUCACUGCAAGGCUACCUACCGCACACGUUUACUGGAUGAAGUUGUUUAAAUGCCGCAUCCCGAGAGCCUCAUCUGUCUCAUGGAACUACAGUUAUAGGAGACCGUAUAACAGGCCACAAAACUUUUACCUCCUACCACCACGUCUGUGAAGAGACCUACAGCCGUAACAGAAUGGAACAGAACAGGCAUUCGUCCUUGGCCAUCGACAUCUUUGUCCAGAGAGAUAGGCGCAUGGAGUUCGUCUACAAAUAAAAGAGGCCGUGUCCUCCUGCUAUACAUGCCCAGAGAACAGCGAGGCAGCGCAAGAACAAGCUUCUCCUUGUGCUGGAGCUCCCAGUUGGCUAGAGAAGCAGUUUAUGGUCUACUCUCUCUCUCUUCGUCUCCCCUUCCUCACCCCUCGGAUCUUUCUCAAUGCUCUCCUCACGCUCUCUACUCCUGCUCUCUCGCUACAUAUCUGAUCUGUGCCCCCUGGCCAUGUCCAGCGUCAGACAACGUCUGAUUCAUGCCCUUAGUUGGCUGCCGCGGUCAGCUGACUCUAUAGUACUAUAGGUUUGGGUUUGUUGGAGGAUUGAUUCAGCAUCCUGCCAGGACGCUAAUCAAUUCCAGUGUACUGUAAGUGUGCAUAAAUAAGAACAGUUUAAUAAUUAAAAGUACAAGGCCAAAAGAAGUAUUUUCAUUCCUAUCACAUCCUACUUUAUAGUCUUAUAAUUUAUUUCCGAUACAUUCAGACUCAGUGAGUCAUUCUCUUGUCAAAAUAAGGAUUUUACCUCUCGCUAAUAAAUGUCUUAAAAUGGACAGUCUAAAACAGGGGCUUGAAUUGGUGCCUCUUUUUCUUCCCCCCUCCGCGCCGUACAAAAACACAUUCCAGCUGUCAAAUGUGUUCGUUCAUGUACUUCUAUAUAAAACCGUUUCUGACUACCGGCCUGUCCCCUAAAGCAAUUAUUAUAGGUGAAAG